rnacentral:rRNA from 1 species
CCAGACUCCUACGGGAGGCAGCAGUGGGGAAUCUUCCGCAAUGGACGAAAGUCUGACGGAGCAACGCCGCGUGAGUGAUGACGGCCUUCGGGUUGUAAAGCUCUGUUAAUCGGGACGAAAGGCCUUCUUGCGAAUAGUGAGAAGGAUUGACGGUACCGGAAUAGAAAGCCACGGCUAACUACGUGCCAGCAGCCGCGGUAAUACGUAGGUGGCAAGCGUUGUCCGGAAUUAUUGGGCGUAAAGCGCGCGCAGGCGGAUAGGUCAGUCUGUCUUAAAAGUUCGGGGCUUAACCCCGUGAUGGGAUGGAAACUGCCAAUCUAGAGUAUCGGAGAGGAAAGUGGAAUUCCUAGUGUAGCGGUGAAAUGCGUAGAUAUUAGGAAGAACACCAGUGGCGAAGGCGACUUUCUGGACGAAAACUGACGCUGAGGCGCGAAAGCCAGGGGAGCGAACGGGAUUAGAUACCCCGGUAGUCCUGGCCGUAAACGAUGGGUACUAGGUGUAGGAGGUAUCGACCCCUUCUGUGCCGGAGUUAACGCAAUAAGUACCCCGCCUGGGGAGUACGACCGCAAGGUUGAAACUCAAAGGAAUUGACGGGAGCCCCGCACAAGAA